UCAGGACGGUUGCACUCGAUACUCAUGUUUCGUAGUAGGCUUGGAACGCUUCGUAAGAGAGGCAGUUUGAAAACUACAAGCACUUGCACACGGCCCCCAUCGAAAUAAUUGGUAUACUCUGCACCCGCCGUGCUCUGCAAAGGAAUCACCCGCCUAUAAAUUGUCGCCCUCUCGAUGGGUACUGCAUCAUUCGGAAGUGAAAGUAAUUGUGAUUGCAAGAUACGCGGAGCUGUUGAUUAGCGGGAUUGCUCAGUAUUGAAGAAUCGCGUAGAGUGAAUUUAUUGUAUUAAGGUGAUCAUUACAUCAACAAUCAAAAUGCCGUGUAAAUGCUGUGGAAAUGCAAAUUGCAAGUGCACUACUUGCUGUGGAACUGACAAACCGUGUGACUCAGGAUGUGCGUGCAACUGUCAGUGCAAGGUAGGAAAACCCUGCAUUCAACCUGGAUGCUGUUAGAUGCACAAGUUAUACUGAGUCAAUUCUGAUUGAUUGGAUUUUUUUCAAAUAAAUUCAUUUUUUCCUAACAA